rnacentral:lncRNA from 1 species
UCAGUGCUUACCAUAUGCCAUGUCAGUUUUAAAAAACAGGAGUCAGCUGUAGCUAAGUCCUUUACUACUUCAUAAAAACAUCAAUCAACCAAACAAUGGUUCAGAUAGUGAAAGAGUUUGAGUCUGGGUAAGCCAGAUCCCUCUGGAAGCUACACAGUGUCUGCUAGGAACCAAGCUAAAUUCAAAGACAGUGACUUCAAAUGUUUUCAGCCCUAGUGUCCUUUAAACUGUGUGCUGGUGUGCCUCUCAUUUCUUUAGAUUGUAAACUCCUCAUUUUAAUUAUAGAAUAACACUCCGUGCUUCUUUCUUUUUUUCCAAGGAAAAUCAUCAGCUUUUUCAAUUAAUAUGUGCCACAGUGUCUGUUACUUUUCAGAAAUACCAUUCGUUUUC